rnacentral:rRNA from 1 species
CAAAAGCUUGGUCCUGACUUUACCAUCAAUUUUGAUCAAAUUUAUACAUGCAAGUAUCCGCACCCCUGUGAGAAUGCCCUGCAUUUUUCCCACCGAAAAAGAGGAGCUGGAAUUAGGCACGCUCUAGAGCAGCCCACAAUUCCCUGCUUAGCCACACCCCCAAGGGAGCUCAGCAGUAAUAAACAUUAAGCUAUAAGUGAAAACUUGACUUAGUUAAGAUCAAGAGGGCCGGUAAAACUCGUGCCAGCCACCGCGGUUAUACGAGAGGCCCAAGUUGACGGAUGCCGGCGUAAAAUGUGGUUAAUUUACAGUAUUACACUAAAGCAAAACACCUUCUAAGCUGUUAUAUGCUCUCGAAGACAGGAGGCCCCUUUACGAAAGUAGCUUUAAGCAAUAUGACCCCACGAAAGCUAGGGAACAAACUGGGAUUAGAUACCCCACUAUG